AUGUACCGCUUUUGAGAUAUGUUUGAUAUUCUUGGUUGUCAAUUUUUGCAAAAUCAACCAAGAAUCAGACAUAUGCUCAGGAUCGCUACCA
rfam:Tetranychus urticae London genomic scaffold, scaffold_10